rnacentral:rRNA from 1 species
GGGCACGCGGUCGCUGCGUCAUGUCCGGCGCGGUCGGCGUGCACUUCUCCCCUAGUAGGACGUCGCGACCCGUUGGGUGUCGACCUACGGCCCGCGAGGUAGACUGGGGCGCCGCGCGUUAAUAGCGCGCGCGCGUCUCAGACCCGCGUGCGCCCGGCUCGACUGCCCGGCGGUAAAGAUCGCUUAUAAUCGAUAAUGGUAUGGGGUCGCACGCUCAUGUUAAAUUUGCGAUGCGUUUUUCGGCCCGUCGUUGAGGCUGGCCUCGCUCGGCGUUUACGGACCUGGUGCCGUUGCCGGGCGUUUAUGGUUGGCUCUCU